rnacentral:rRNA from 1 species
AUUGAACGCUGGCGGCAUGCCUUACACAUGCAAGUCGAACGGCAGCACGGGAGCAAUCCUGGUGGCGAGUGGCGAACGGGUGAGUAAAGUAUCGGAACGUGCCCAGUCGUGGGGGAUAACGUAGCGAAAGUUACGCUAAUACCGCAUACGAUCUACGGAUGAAAGCGGGGGAUCGCAAGACCUCGCGCGAUUGGAGCGGCUGAUAUCAGAUUAGGUAGUUGGUGGGGUAAAGGCGCACCAAGCCGACGAUCUGUAGCUGGUCUGAGAGGACGACCAGCCACACUGGGACUGAGAAACGGCCCAGACUCCUACGGGAGGCAGCAGUGGGGAAUUUUGGACAAUGGGGGCAAGCCUGAUCCAGCCAUGCCGCGUGCAGGAUGAAGGCCUUCGGGUUGUAAACUGCUUUUGUACGGAACGAAAAGGUUUGGCCUAAUAAGCUGGACCCAUGACGGUACCGUAAGAAUAAGCACCGGCUAACUACGUGCCAGCCGCCGCAGUAA